GUAAUGGUGUCUUUAGACACCACCUUUCUUUUCUGAAGUUAUUUCU
rfam:Picea glauca, whole genome shotgun sequence.